rnacentral:antisense_RNA from 1 species
AAAAAGUAAAAAAAAUUAAACAAGCCAUAAGGAAAAAGAACGCUAAAUACCUACUAGAAAUUGGGGGAGGGUUCCUUAUCCCAGAAAAGACUCAAAGGAAUAAGGCAAUUGGAAACACUUUGGCGGGGAAUGAAAUAUUUGUGACCUGAGUGAGCCUUUGAAUGAAUGAUAUGACAGCCCCACAAAUUAUAUCAUGGGAAGAAUGACCUCGUGUUUAUAGCUGAGUAAUGAUAUACAAAUUUUCUCAGAAUAGAAACUAACAAUUGGAAAGAUAAUCCAGAAACUUUGCUAGAUUCAAACCAGCUAAAAUUACCAUGAAAUGAACCGUGUAUCAAUAAUUGCCGGUAUACUUUAGCACAUACAUUAUACACGUAAUUAUGUCCACAUAAUUGCAUGCAUGCGAGCAUUACGUGUAUGCAUACAUAAAUAGCCAAAAUUAUUCUUCCCCCCAUAGGUCAAAUAAACAAGUGAAUGUUAAAAUAUACCAUGCUGGCCACAAUUGAGCAAGCCUUCCGUGGUGUAAUUUCUUUUUGUAUGUGAAAUAUAUUUAUGUAUCAGCACAUGUAAUGACUUAACUAUGACUCUCUUCUACUCUCGUCUGUUUGUUUGUUUGUUUGUUUGUUCGUUCAUUCAUUCAUUCAUACAUUCUCAUUCAUAAUCUUCAGAUCUUGGGGGUUGUGUGGGAAGAGAGAUAAUCGGAAGUGGUCUAUAGCAUAAAAGGCGAGUGCAUGGUGUAAAAUAAGGAUGAGUAAAUGCAGAGAGGCGACAAUCAGAUUGGGGAUUUGAAAGUUCCUACUCUAUAAAUUAACUGACAUAACCUUCGAGGAGGAUUGCUUCUUAUUUGUUGACUGGCAUGAUGUUGAGGCCGAACCCACUGGAGACACGCUUGUAGAGGAGCUGGUAGAGCAAGUACUGUUAUUAAUUCCAUCGGAACAAAUUUGGUUAUUCAAUUGCUUAGAGUUAUUAAGAUGUCCUCCAUUGGAGUCGUUGUAGUUUAGAUUCGAAGGUAGGUUUGUGGCAAUGAAGCCACUAUUGCUAUUACUUCGCUGGACAAAUACAGGUUGUAAGCCUUCAUUAAAGCUGGAUUGGAUAUUUGAAACCAUUCCAUUUCUACCCGAACCUGAGCCCAAGGUCGACUGGGAAUUAGUAUUAGUACAAGUACUGUUACUAUUAUUAUUAUUACCAGUACUGCUGCUACCUGAGUUGCCACCUGUAUUCCCAUUAUUAAAAGACCUAUAGGCCUUGAGAUGAUGUAAAUACACGUGCUUGGCAUACUCUGCGACGAUCUUAUCCCCAAUUUCAUCUCGGUACUCUCCGCAUUUGAAGCAUCUAAAGCGUCGUGGAAAGUUGACAUUACUGCAUUUGCAACAUGCCCAAUUCCCAUUCUGCCCUUUCAUGGGGUUGGCAUUCGCAAAACCCGCCCCAUUCACUCCCGCCUGAAAUUCAUGCGGUGCCCCGCUCAAAGCUCCCAUUAGAGGCGGGUUCUGGCUCCCAUUAGAGGGUUGUUUUCCACAGAGUGGAUCACCAUAGAUUUUGAGAAAAGAUGAAGGAUUUUUGAACUCGUCAGGGUGUGCAAGCAUAGUCGGGGCGGCAAAGUUGGGUCCUCCUACACCAAGUGUGGUGGGGCUCCAGUUUCCAUUUCCAGAGUUGGAAUUCGAUGAAUUAGAUGGUAUCGUAGAGUGGUGGUGAUUAUUAUUAUUGGAUUGGAAGUUCGGGACCUCCUUGUUGAAUCUGGUUGCUAGUAGAGCAGCAGUGGAGCUUAGUAUUUGGGACGCUUGCUCGAAAACAUUUCCGGUGUGUCCAUUAUCUUUGACGAUACUCAUGAGUAUAUAAUCCAGGAGUUCAUUUGCUUUAGAUGAUAAGAUAACAGAAGAGGGGGAAGAUGGGGUGGUGGUGGUGGUGGCAGAGGCGGCGACGGUAGUGGCAGUUGUGCUUGUAGUGUGUUUGCCUCCAGCUCCAGGCGUGGUGACGCCAUUUGAUUUAGGUAAAACGCUUCCCCCCCAUUUACUAGGGUUGAUGCCACUGCAAAUGCCUGAAGGAAGUGUGGAAGUUACAGAGCCUCCAUGGCCAUUGUUGAUGUUGAUAUUGUUAUUGCUAUUAUUGUUGCUGUUACUAGCGUUGUUAUUAUUACUAUUGUUAUUGCUGUUGACAUUACCACCACUGGUGCUGCUGCUGCUACUACUACUGCUACUACCCCUGCAAUUGCCGUUACCGUUUAGGAUAACAUUAUCCGGGGAGUUUUCAAAGCAGUAAUCGGUGAUCUUUGAGUAGGGGAGGAAGCUCCCCCAGGAAUCGGAGCUGAGUCCAUCAUUGAGGUAAUUAAGAAGUGGGGCUGAAAAGUCACCUGAUAUUGGAUCAGUAGAUGUAGAUUCAGGCCCAAACCCUGAAAUAGUAAAAGGGUCAGAUCCUGGUGGUGCUGGGAGGCUACAUGGAGGUGAACACUCAUCUACAACUGUAGGAGUGUAUGGGGCCGAAGUUGAUCUAGUAGAAGAAAGAGUACAGACGAAUGACUUCGGAGAAGAAAAUAUACUCAUCAUUGCUGCUCCACCCAAAGCUCCAGUUGAGUGAUUCCCAUUUGGUUGAUGCUCUUUCACACUAGAGUGUUGCUCUUUGGCUAAGAGUACCUUAUUGCUGAUAUCCAUAGGACAGUUUGUUUGGCCUAAAAUGUCGUGUAUGGUGCCACAUCCCAUGUUUCCGACACCUUGUUUGGGGAUUCUAAGAAUAUGGGAAGCAUUUCCAAGUCUACAAGUUUGGGGAGUUUCUAGGUGAGAAUUAUCGAUCAUACUGGAAAUUUCAUCAAAGUAGUUUUGAUCUGUGCCAAACGUAGAGGUUCCAUCAAUUAUGGACGCUAUGCAAGGCGUUGAUAUGGAAUUUGAGGACGAUGUUGAAGGUGUAGUAGUAGUAGUAGAUGUUGAUGAAAUUUGCUUCUGGUCAAAUUCUAGACCACCAAGUGUUGAUGAAUUUGCAAACUGUGGACGUGGUCUAGGAGUGGCAAACAUUCUUGAAUUCAUGUGAAAUUAACGACGAUCUCUGUUCAGACUAUUUAGGUUAAAAUAGCAAAUUGAAUAUUUGAAUGGGUUGAGAAAAAAAAAAAGCGAGGCCAAACUUGAAAUGACACUUCCUGCUUUUUUUUCUCUUUAAUAUUGACAAUAAACGGUAUAGGUAUAAAAAUAUAUCGUCCUCUUUAUUCUAAUUGAAGGCACUUUACGCAGUAUAAUGCGUUUAUGUUAUCCUUAUUAAAAGUCCAAAUUCUUAAUUACCUAGAUCCUAUUCACCUUACACGCACAAUAUUACUUUCCUGCUUCAAUCUAGAUAUUCCAAUGUUAGCUUCUUCGUUAUCAAGUAUCGAAUCAGUAACCUUAAUCUUCUUUACAUUCUCUCUAUGACUCAAGAGACGUUAGCACAUACUGUGCUUCACAGCAUUUAAACGAUGAUCUUCACUCGUUUUGUCCAAAAUUCAACAUUAGUUGUAAACUUUAAUUAUUGAUCUCCCUGGCCAAUCCUUCGGGCUGUCCCCCCAGCCAUUUGUGAUCUGCUACACUCCAGUAUGUACCUUAUAAUGUAUUUUGUUGCGUAUAUACCCCUCCUCAUGACCUGCACUUCACGUCUCGAGACGGGAGCCUUGUCAUGUUUUCUUUUUUGCCUAUUUAUACUUAUUAUUUCAAUUAAAGAAAUGGGCGGGCACAUGCGGCACUUGCCCGCGUUCAAAUAGGCGGGGGCACAUAUGGCGCAUGAGUUGAAGCACUGGUAAUAAAAGGAAGAGAGAGGACGAGUCUAAAGAGAGAAAGAAAAGGAAAGGGGAGGGGGGAGUGGGUUAAAAGUGAAAAUUAUAAAAUAAACUACUGAGAGUAGGAUAGUAACAACACGAGGGGGGGAGAGUGGCCAAUAUAGAAAGGUUAGAAAAUCUUCGGUAUUAGAAUAGGUUCUGGUCAAGAUUGUCACAGUUGUAGGAUAUAUGCAUGCAUGCAUGCAUAUAUGUAUAUAUAUAAGCUCUUUAAUAGUGAGAGGCAAAUAUUUUGAGAAAAAGUUGAUUUCUUGAAGUACCUACAGUUAUAGUAGUAGUUAUGAUAUUAGUAGAUUUACCGUCGAAGUAUCAGUAUCGAGCAACUAGCCCCAACAAUGUUGAAUAGAAGUGUAUAAUGAACUUAAGUAACUAAAUAAUUUUGCUGAUUUUUUCAUUAAUACUUUUUCCAAGAAAUCCACUCUCAAAUUUCUUAGCAUCGAAUCCUUCCGCUCUCUUUAAAUUACAAAGCUGAAAAGGAGCAAGAUUGCUUGUAAUAGCUUCAAAUAUUUCCUUAUCCUGUUGAGUCUCACAACCAUUCCAUAGCCCAGUAACAAUAUCUUCAGUACAUAAAACACCAAUUUCACCAAGUCUAUCUUCUACAAUGUUAUUAUCAGUAAGAAGAACUUUUCCUUGUUUUUUUUCGGAUAAUUUUGCUCUACUUUGACCUUUUGAUUGGACAUUUUGAUGAGUAAAUGCUCCUUUUUUAAAAACUAGAGUCUUUAAUAAAUUUAAAUUAGGAAAUCCAUAAAAAACAUAGGGCUUUACUUCCCUCAAAACACGAAUUGUCUCAUCAGUAUGACUCAAAAUUACUGCAGAAAAUUUGUUCACCAGUCCUAAAUCACGAAGUUUUCUGUUUGAUUCUAGUGAUCCACAAAAUCGACUAUUUCUCACCACCAAUACUAUAAGCCUACCAUUAGUCUUCUUUGGAGUUAGAUAUGGC